rnacentral:rRNA from 1 species
CCGGCCCGGCAACGGGCGCGGCAACAACAACUCUAAGCGAUGCAUCAACGCGUGGGAGCCUCCGGGGCGCACAGGCGCGAAAACUCCGCAAUGCACGAAAGUGUGACGGGGCUACCCCGAGUGCCAUCCGCUGAGGAUGGCUUUUCUUUGGUAUAACUAGCCAUUGGAAUAAGGAGAGGGCAAGACUGGUGUCAGCCGCCGCGGUAAUACCAGCUCUCCGAGUGGUAGGGAUGAUUAUUGGGCUUAAAGCGUCCGUAGCCGGCUUAGCAAGUUUCCUGUUAACUAGCGACUAAUCGUUGGACGCGGGAAAUCUCUAGGCUAGGAGGCGGGAGAGGUAACGGUCUUCUGGGGUAGGGGUAAAUCCUAUACCCGGGAGGACCACCAGUGGCGAAGGCUGUUGACUAGAACGCGCUCGACGGUGAGGGACGAAA